rnacentral:rRNA from 1 species
UACGGGGGGGGCAAGCGUUGUUCGGAAUUACGGGGCGUAAAGGGCUCGUAGGUGGCCAACUAAGUCAGACGUGAAAUCCCCAGGCUCAACUUGGGAACUGCGUCUGAUACUGGAUGGCUUGAAUUCGGGAGAGGGAUGCAGAAUUCCAGGUGUAGCGGUGAAAUGCGUAGAUAUCUGGAGGAAUACCGGUGGCGAAGGCGGCAUCCUGGACCGAUAUUGACACUGAUGAGCGAAAGCUAGGGGAGCAAACGGG